CGCACGAGCGCACCCCUUUCCUUAGUUGCCAUCGGGUGAUGCCGGGAACUCUGAGGAAACUGCCCGUUAUAACCCGGAGGAAGGUGGGGAUGACGUCAAGUCAUCAUGGCUCUUAUGUCUGGGGCUGCACACGUGCUACAAUGGCCGGUACAAAGGGUCGCGAUCCCGCAAGGUGGAGCCAAUCCCAAAAAACCGGUCUCAGUUGGGAUUGCGGUCUGCAACUCGACUGCAUGAACGUGGAAUUGCUAGUAAUCGCGGAUCAGCAUGCCGCGGUGAAUACGUCCCCGGGUCUUGUACACACCGCCCGUCAAGCUACAAAAGUCAGAUAUGCCUGAAGUCGCGGCCCCUAACCGCCAGGGAAGGGAGCUGCCAACGUAAAGCUGGCUGAUCGAGCUAAUCCUAACAAGGUAACCGUACCGGAAAGUGCGGCUGGAUCA
rnacentral:rRNA from 1 species